GGGGGGGGGGGGGGGGGGGGGGGGGGGGGGGGGGGCGGGGGGGGGGGUGGGGAGCGGGGUCGGCUGACGGUGGCGGCGGGCGGGGGGGUACCAGGGGGAUAACCUGCCUAUAAGGCUGAGAGCACUUCGGGCUACCGGAGCUGCUCCCGGCGCCGCUAUUGGACCGCCGUGUUCCAUAGUGACAGACGGUUUUGCUGCCACUUAUACCUGGGUCCGCUCCGCAUUAGCUACUUGGUACGUCACCGGCUUACCACGGCAACGAUGCGUAGCCGACCUGAGAGGGGGAUCGGCCACACGGGACCUGAGACACGGUCCAGACUCCUACGGGAGGCAGCAGUAGGGAAUCUUCCGCAAUGGGCGAAAGCCUGACGGAGCAACGCCGAGUGAGUGAUGAAGGUCUUCGGAUCGUAAAACUCUGUUAUUAGGGAAGAACAAAUGUGUAAGUAACUAUGCCCGUCUUGACGGUACCUAAUCAGAAAGCCACGGCUAACUACGUG
rnacentral:rRNA from 1 species